rnacentral:sRNA from 2 species
AUCGAAAAAUAGCCGAGUUCCGCUAUGCGGAAACGGGGGACCCACUAUCUUUGGGGUGAAUGGCUGCGCUCUCGCAGUCUAGGGCAUUCCUUUCGACCGAACCCUUCAGCUAACCUCGUAGGCUCAGGAGAGGAGCAGU